AGCGACAAGAGGCGAUUUUCUCUCAAAAGCUGCCCUCUAACAGAGCCCUCUUUUCAGAAAAAAUAAAAUGAGGGAUGAGUACCUAGCUGACAGAGCCCCUUUAUAUAGGAAUACCCGACGGCUCAGAUGAAAGCAGUCAGAUCGAGAACACGUUGGAUGACGACACGUGGUAACAUCUGGACCCAUCAUCGGAUGAUGGUUCGAUGCACCUGUCUCAGAUUGAACCAUGUCAUCUCUAUUCGUGUGAACGUCUCCGACCCAAUGGCACCC
rnacentral:lncRNA from 1 species